GGCAUAUUCCGCGCAGGCGAAGCUCGACCGCCUGUUCCGGCGAUGAUCGCUUUCAUCGACGAUCACCGCGAUUGCUAUGGAAUCGAGCCGAUUUGUCGUGUCUUGCCGAUCGCCCCG
rnacentral:ncRNA from 2 species